GACGAACGCUGGCGGCGUGCCUAAUACAUGCAAGUUGAGCGCUGAAGGUUGGUACUUGUACCAACUGGAUGAGCAGCGAACGGGUGAGUAACGCGUGGGGAAUCUGCCUUUGAGCGGGGGACAACAUUUGGAAACGAAUGCUAAUACCGCAUAAAAACUUUAAACACAAGUUUUAAGUUUGAAAGAUGCAAUUGCAUCACUCAAAGAUGAUCCCGCGUUGUAUUAGCUAGUUGGUGAGGUAAAGGCUCACCAAGGCGAUGAUACAUAGCCGACCUGAGAGGGGUGUCGGCCACAUUGGGACAGAGACACGGCCCAAACUCCUACGGGAGGCAGCAAUAGGGGAUCUUCGGCAAUAGACGAAAGGCUGACCGAGCCACGCCGCCGGAGUUAAGAAGGUUCUCGGAUCGUAAAACUCUGUUGGUAGAGAAGAACGUUGGUGAGAGUGGAAAGCUCAUCAAGUGACGGUAACUACCCAGAAAGGGACGGCUAACUACGUG
rnacentral:rRNA from 1 species